rnacentral:rRNA from 1 species
UACCAGCACCCCGAGUGGUCGGGACGUUUAUUGGGCCUAAAGCAUCCGUAGCCGGUUCUACAAGUCUUCCGUUAAAUCCAACUGCUUAACAGGUGGGCUGCGGAAGAUACUAUAGAGCUAGGAGGCGGGAGAGGCAAGCGGUACUCGAUGGGUAGGGGUAAAAUCCGUUGAUCCAUUGAAGACCACCAGUGGCGAAGGCGGCUUUCUGGUCUGUAACUGACGCUGAGGCGCGAAAGCGUGGGGAGCAAACAGG